rnacentral:rRNA from 1 species
UACGUAGGGUCCAAGCGUUAUCCGGAAUUACUGGGCGUAAAGAGUUGCGUAGGUGGUUAAGUAAGUAGAUAGUGAAAGCGUACGGCUCAACCGUAUAUCCAUUAUCUAAACUGCUUUGACUAGAGGACGAGAGAGGUAGAUGGAAUUCCUGAUGUAGGGGUAAUAUCCGUAGAUAUCAGGAGGAACACCGAUGGCGUAAGCAGUCUACUGGCUCGUUCCUGACACUAAGGCACGAAAGCGUGGGGAGCGAACGGG